UACGUAGGGCGCAAGCGUUAUCCGGAAUUAUUGGGCGUAAAGAGCUCGUAGGCGGCUUGUCGCGUCUGCCGUGAAAGUCCGGGGCUCAACUCCGGAUCUGCGGUGGGUACGGGCAGACUAGAGUGAUGUAGGGGAGACUGGAAUUCCUGGUGUAGCGGUGAAAUGCGCAGAUAUCAGGAGGAACACCGAUGGCGAAGGCAGGUCUCUGGGCAUUAACUGACGCUGCGGAGCGAAAGCAUGGGGAGCGAACAGG
rnacentral:rRNA from 1 species